CCCGCAGCGCCCGCGCGCCGAAGUCCGCGCGGCAGCGCAGGUGGAGGUGCCGCGUGAGGCAGCACGCGGGCGACGAGAACGAGCUCGGGUCCGCCAUCGCUCGCGCGCCGUCUGCCCGCCCCGCGCGCCCGCGAGCAGCACCGCGGCCGCCCCACCCACCGCGGGGAGGGAGCGGGGGCGGCCAGCGCGCAGGCCCCUGGGAGGUGUAGUGCCGCUCUCUGCGCGCCGGGGGGGGGCAUCGCGCCGAGAACUACAGCGACCGUGGUGCAGUGCGGAAGGGGUGAGGCAGGCUCGUCGAGCAGCGUGGUUGGCCCGAAGGGACGGCGUCAGCCGGCUGCCGGGCUGCGAGCGACCAAUACAAUGUGGCCACUGCUGCGGAACGAGCAGUUGUACAGUUCCUCGUUAGUAUAGUGGUGUGCAGUGUGUUUUCUUCUCCAGAGGAUGUUAUUUAACUGUACUCAGUGAUCUGGCAACAUCAGGGUGUCAUCAUGAUGGGCUCAGGUUACACUCCUUUCAAGACUGAUGCUGGUGGUGCACCACAGAAACUGCAGAUGCUAAGACAACUGAAGAAGUACACGCUUUGUAAUUUAAGGCUAGCAAACCCAGUCAAGUUCCUUAUAACGAGAGGAAUAUGAAAUAACAAUACCUCAGCAUUGUAGUAACUGGCCAACAACCAAGAAUUUCAUUAAAGCCUUGAGCAUUUAAGAAUACAAUUAGCUACAUA